CCUGCCCAAGAGAUCGGGAUAACACCUGGAAACAGAUGCUAAUACCGGAUAACAACAGAUGAUGCCUAUCAACUGUUUAAAAGAUGGUUCUGCUAUCACUCUUGGAUGGACCUGCGGUGCAUUAGCUAGUUGGUAGGGUAACGGCAUACCAAGGCGAUGAUGCAUAGCCGAGUUGAGAGACUGAUCGGCCACAUUGGGACUGAGACACGGCCCAAACUCCUACGGGAGGCAGCAGUC
rnacentral:rRNA from 1 species